GCCCCCACCUCUCUUGGAAAGCCAAGCUUCAGUUGUUCUCUGGCUUCCCCGAGGAGAUAGCGGGGCAGGUGACAAGCCCGCCUCGGAGGACACUCCGCAGAGGCGUCCCCGGCGUGGAGCCUCACUUGGCCCCUUUGGACGCAAGACUUCCAGCGCCAAAACCGCGUUUCGGGGCUGUAGGCGGGCGCGCUUCCGAGAACGCGGGCAGCAGGGCCGCUGGCUUCGCGGGAACCGACCGCCAGAACUGUGAACGUUUCCUCGAAAUCUGCGCAGUGCUUCCUAGCUUUCAUCUGGUUUCAAGUUCCAGUCCAGAAACAGACAAAGUACACGGGGAAACUGAGAGCUCCCCAGGAAGAUUGUAAAGGCAGAAAGAAAGAAAGAAGCUGCCGGUCUGCUCCCCCAGACGAAAGAGUAGACCACCCUGCUGCAGGUUUUCUGAGUUCUGUGGUUUUCAUCCGAGGCCUCCCAGGACAACCUCAGCCUCUUGUUUCCCAUGGAGGUUGGUUGCGAAGGAACCCCAAAUUCCUCUCAGAGAGACUCUAGAAGUGUCAAGAGAACCCCAUGAUCCAAAGCCUCUUUGUGAUCCCACAGCCUUCAAAGCCUGGGUUUUGUUUUUUUAAAUGCACCGAAGGUUCUUUAAACAGAGCCAUUCAAAGAAAGAAAUGUAAAUUUUUACAUUGUGCAAAACAAAAAGUGAUUUAAAUACAGCCACAGUUUCUUGUAGAGGUAUUUAAACGCUUGAGUCUAGCCCUCUCUUGGAGCGAAGAAGAGGUGAUUGGAAACUUAGUCUUGCUUGGAAGCUUAACUAGGAUUUUUAAAAAAUAAAUUUCUCAUUUUGGCACAGGACGUCAAAUCUAGGAGCUGGUGUAUGCUAAUUCUACGCUUUGUGAGCGGGGUUUGGGCACUAAUAUAACACUAUUCUAAGAGCAGUGCUUAACCACGCUGUGUGCCCCUAAGAAGGACCUGGGCCAGACCCAACCACCCCCCAACAAGAUGGCUCUGGGGGAGGAGGGAAGACAAAGCUGAUUUGCAUUUCUAUAGAGUUGGGGU